GACGAACGCUGGCGGCGUGCUUAACACAUGCAAGCCGAACGGAAAGGCCCUGCUUUUGUGGGGUGCUCGAGUGGCGAACGGGUGAGUAACACGUGAGUAACCUGCCCUUGACUUUGGGAUAACUUCAGGAAACUGGGGCUAAUACCGGAUAGGAGCUCCUGCUGCAUGGUGGGGGUUGGAAAGUUUCGGCGGUUGGGGAUGGACUCGCGGCUUAUCAGCUUGUUGGUGGGGUAGUGGCUUACCAAGGCUUUGACGGGUAGCCGGCCUGAGAGGGUGACCGGCCACAUUGGGACUGAGAUACGGCCCAGACUCCUACGGGAGGCAGCAGUGGGGAAUAUUGCACAAUGGGCGGAAGCCUGAUGCAGCAACGCCGCGUGCGGGAUGACGGCCUUCGGGUUGUAAACCUCUUUCGCCUGUGACGAAGCGUGAGUGACGGUAAUGGGUAAAGAAGCACCGGCUAACUACGUG
rnacentral:rRNA from 1 species